AACAUUUUGAAAUGUUUAAAAAUGAUUUAGACAUACAGAUAAGUUGCAAAAAUAGCACAGAAGAUUCUUGAGUAUGCCUUACCCAGCUUCCUCUAAUGUUAAUAUCUCAUAUAACAAUGGCAUCAUUAUCUAAACCAGGAAAUUAACAUCAGUACAAUGCUAUUAAUUUAACUGCAGUGUUUAUUCACUAAUAUUGUUUUUCUCUUCUAGGAUCCAAUCCAGGCUCCACACUGCAUUUAGUUAUUAUGUCAGUAUAUUCUCCUAUACUGGGACAGCUCCUGAGUUCUUUUUAAAACAAAAUAUCCCUCCAUUCAGAUAUAUCUAAUGUUUUCUCAUAAGUAGAAGAAAGUAUUUUGUGCAAGAAUAUAAUACAGUUUCAGCAUUCCUAACCUGAAAGUCUGAAUUUUUGAGAGCAAUAUGACCUCACAAGUGGUAAAUUUCACACCAUGAAACUGUUUAAUGGACAAAAUUAUUAAAAGUAAUAUCUAAAGUUACCUUUGUUUCAAGUUUAUAAAGUGUAUAUGAAAUCUAAAUGAGUUUCAUGUUUAGACAUGGGUCUUGUUCUCAAGAUAUCUCAUUUGGAAUAUGCAAAUGUUCCAAUACUGGAAAAAAAAUUGAAAUCUGAAAUGCUUCUGGUCCUAAUCAUUUUGGAUAAAGGAUAUUCAAGCUGUAGAAACUCAAUCUUGUAAAGUUUUUUAAUCUGUUUACCAUGAGAUAGACAAGAUUCAGGUAUUUCUAAAAAUAUAUUGGUUUAACAAACCUUUUAAAUCCCUCCAAAAAGUAAUACAUAUUUUUCAUUUUACAGAUGAAGAAACUGAUAAACUAAUUAGCUGUCCAACUUCUCACAAUUAUAAAGGACAAGGUUGAGAUGAGAGCCACAGCUCUGACUCAGCAGCCCACAUAAUUUUUGCGGUGGUGAAUAUGGGUGCAUUUUGGGUGGGUAAAGGAAGGAUGAAGGAAGGAGAAACUUCUGACAAAGCUCUUUAAAGAGGAGCCAAGUUAUACUUAGUGUUUGUGAUAGUCACAGGGGUAGGGGGUCUUCAAGAACAGGUAAAAUACCUCUAGGCAGCUUUCAUUUGACCAGGUUUGUCAAUCAUAAAAUAAAACUAAAAUCCUAAAUGACACUGUUUAUGCCAUCCAUCCCUGUUCUUAGGACCCAAAUCUCUUUUUUAUUUAACCUUGGGUUUCUUUUGUGUUUAAUUUUAUUUUAAGGUGGGGUGUCAACCUAGAAAGACUCCAUUGCAUCAGAAUUACAAGCUACUAGAUAGAAAGUAAUGUUAAAUAACAAAAACAGGCAUGAGAAAAAAUGAAGAGUCUGUUGUGAAAGUCAUUGAUUCUGUACUAUCCUCAAAAGUGAAUCAUAAUGUGCAUGUUAUAAAUAUCUCGUUAGUAAGCCUUAGAACUUUUUAAUAAGUAGAGUGCAAAGAUUGAGCUAUUCAACAUUGCUCCCCUGUACAAUAAUUAAUUGCCUUAUUUUCUCUUACAUGCAAGACAUAUUAAGGAACCCUCAUGGUCCUUUUAUUUUACCUAGCAAAUGAUUUAACAUUCUAUUAAAUAUUAAUCUAUCAUUAUAAAUGUGCUUGUAUCUUGGUCAUGAAACACCUUUGAACAAGCAACUGUUUCCAGAUAGAUACAUGAAGUCACCAGGGGGGAAACCCAUUGUAGGCAUCACAGGGGAAUUGGCUGGAGGUCUGUACUGAGAGUGGCUAUCAGUGAUCAGUGAUACCUGGAGUAAAAGAACAGGUGUUUCCCCAGUGCCUGGGCCCUGGCCUAUUAUUGUUUAACAGCUUUAUCAAUGUACCUGGGUGAGAUGGGAUGGAAAGCAUGCUUUGUGCAUUUGCAGCUGAGACAGUCACGUGGGGACAGAUAGGGUCCUGGAAUAGAGGACUGAAAUUCAAAUUGACCUUGGUGAACAUGGCUCCCAUAAUUCAGCAACAUGCAUUGACUAGGUUCUGAGGAUAGGGAACAAUCUUAAUGAAAAGAGAGAACUGAAAAGAAAGUAGAAAAUGUUUUCUGUUUUUCCUCAGUUUGCCAAAUGAUGGGAAGAAAAGGCUCAGCUCAUAGGUAAUGAUGUAGCCCCAAAGAACUAGGAAUGUGUGUGUAUGCACAGUGAACAAUGAGCUUGACAGUACUCAGAGAUCCCUGAAGAAAUGGAUUGGGUGGAGGGAGAUGAAACCAGGUGUGGGUGACCUGACAGUGGGAACCAAGUAUCUCAAAGUGAACCUGGGGGAGUUUUGCUUAUGUAGCAAGAUGAUCUGCAAUAAGAGGCUUUAUCAAUACUAUGGAAAAUAAGUAACAGAAUCAAGCAAAAAUAAAUAAAUUGAUUCUUUAAGGUCAUGGAAAGUACAUGCCAAUAGAAACAAAAGGCAAAUUGUAUGGGAAAUGUCAAGCUAAAUAUAAGAAGUAAAAACUGUGGAUAGGAAUUAUGAUUGGAGAGAAUCAAGGGUUCUACAUUUGGAGAUGGAAGAGAAGCAAAAGUGUUGCCAUUGCUGGGAGAUGUUCUUUAUAUUACUUGCACUGUAUUUCCUUUGAAAGCUGAACAAACAAGAACACACAGAAGUAAAUGCAUGCAUGCCUACAUACUUAGGUAAAUAAAGUGUGUGUAUGUAAAGGGAUGCUCUUUGUCACUUUUUAAAUUGAAAUGUAAUUCACAUGUAAAAUUCACCCCCAUAAAGUCCUUUGUAACCUAUGCAAGAGGUAGCAGAAAACCACCAAAAAUAAUAAAAUAAACUGUUUAUCAGUGCUUUAGAAGUGCUUUGAUCCAGUACCUGGUGGAUAAUGUAUAAUUUUCGAAGUGGAGCAAUCGAUUUCCUAAUGGAACUAUGGUUGCUAAAGGAGGUUAUGAAGUUUCCCCCCAUAAAAACCUUUGAAAUCAAGAUCCAUUCUGAUAUUUCUGGUGGUCUGAGCAACAUUAAGAUCAGCUCUUAAGACUUCAGGGCCAUGUGUGUGUCAUUCACUUCUGGUGUUCAUCAGUUCUCUGUGUUGUGUUGAGAUGUGUAAAAUAAUAGAGAUGAACAGUUGAGAAGUGCUAAAACAAACAGUCAUUAGCCAUUUGGGCCAGUGUGAAAUGUAAAUGUCUUCUCAGAUUCUGACAAAAUAACUAAAUAAGCAGCUGUGUGUUCUCUACUAUUCUUAUUGAACAGUGAUGCUCCACCUUGGGAGUUUUAAAUCAGCCACCAUGAUGAAACCAGAUGGCAUAAAAUAGUGAAAUGUCAAUAAAAUGUGAAAUGUCAAUUCUUCUGCCAGUAGGGCCAGAAUCAAACAGCUGUCAAUCUCAAAUAAAUAAGAUGGAUGAAAGAAACUUUGAUGAUCUCCCUUGCCCACUGUCACAGAGCUUGCAGCCCUGGUGACCCAUCCUGCCAUCUCUGACUAGGGAUAUCCUGCCAUCCUGCCUUGAAAAGAAAGACCUGUCACUCAGUUGCAUGAUAACCAUCUGAGUAUCCCCCUUUUCUCCUACUUUCUAUAGAGGGGAAAAGCAAAAUGUGGACCGCAGCUGUGAGGAGUAUUUCACAGAUGGUGCCAACUGAUCCACAAAAGCCUUUUGUUUUCAUGUACCCUGCAUCUGUCAGGUGUUGAUCCAGUGGACUCAGUGAUCUGCAUGCCGUUGACCAUCCUCUGAAAGACAUUGCUCAUUUGAUGGAGGGCUGGGCUCCAACCAGGGGAAUUAAGCGGCUGUUCAAUUUCCACCUAAGGUACCCUGCCAUCUGACAGGUGUGGAUCCAGUGGAUCAACAUAGUGUAUAUGAAAUUAAAUUUUUUAAUAAAAUUAAAGUUAUUUUUGAAAUUGCUUGAAAAUAUCAA